GAGGAGGCAAGAACAGUGCGUAACAUUGAUGAGAAGCAACUGAAAACUCCCUUGAGAUAUUCCUUGCACAAUGCAGUCAAGCCGGUGCAGCACUACAGCACAUCUAACACUACAGAAAGUUGGAAAAGUACACAUUUGAAACUGAUGUUACCAUUACCACCUCAGAGAUGGAAGCCAAAGAAAGUUACAACAGUUGUGGUUUGAAAUUCUCAAGAGAAACUACUUAAAAAUAUUGACAAAUACAAUAUUUUUAUGUUCAUUUA